GCCUACGGGGGGCAGCAGCCGCGGUAAUACGUAGGGAGCGAGCGUUAUCCGGAUUUAUUGGGUGUAAAGGGUGCGUAGACGGGAAUUUAAGUUAGUUGUGAAAUCCCUCGGCUCAACUGAGGAACUGCAACUAAAACUGGAUUUCUUGAGUGCUGGAGAGGAAAGCGGAAUUCCUAGUGUAGCGGUGAAAUGCGUAGAUAUUAGGAGGAACACCAGUGGCGAAGGCGGCUUUCUGGACAGUAACUGACGUUGAGGCACGAAAGUGUGGGGAGCAAACAGGAUUAGAAACCCCGGUAGUCCAGAUC
rnacentral:rRNA from 1 species